UUGCAAAACAAAGAGACAUACGAUAUUGCGUAUAAAAUAGUGUUUGACAAAAAUAUCUAAAGAGGGGAUGAGGAGGGGUUCUUACUGCUAACAAUUCCCUUAAAAAUGGUGCGGCAAUCAUAAGAGAGAAGGGCGCAAGUGGGGCUUUCCUAUGGGAAAAUGCACGCUGUCACAUGGCCAUGCCAUAUUUUACCUUCCAGAGUUACCACAAACCUUACUUUUUCCAGGAAAAUUUUCAUUUUCUAGGAAAAGUUUUCAUUUUCUGUAUCUUGAGAGAUCAUUCCGUUACUGAUUUUCUCUACACAUAAUCUUGAUUUGUCUACUUGGUUUAGAGCAGUUUUAGUUCAUUUGGCUUACUACAUUACUUGCCGUUGAGGGUGUACUUGCUAAAUCAGUUAUAAUACAACAUUAGCUUACUACAUUACUUGCCAUUGAGGGUUUACUUUGCUAAAUCAGUUAGAAUGGCCAUCUCAUCAGUUUAAGCACAGAUGCUAUCAAACAAGCUUUGAUGUGGAUUCCAUUCUUUUUCCCUCCAUCUGGUUCUCCACUAUUUUUUUCUCAUGACUCAUCAACAAGAGAAACGUGAACCAAUUAUUCCAACCAAAGAAAGUUGUUUUGUUAGGAGAUUACUUCAUUAAUUUAAGUUAUUCUUUAUGGUCAUGUCCCUCUAUAAGUUAUAUUCCUUCCCUUCUUAUAUGUAUAGUUCUCACAACUUCAUCUCCUUAAAGCUUUCAGACCCUAUUACUCUCUCUCUCUCUCUCUCUCUCUCUCUGAAUUAAGCUUGAAGAAUCCCCAGAGCUCCCCAUUACCUACACGGUGAUUUUCUUUAAGCGUUUAGCUUGGUCAUAUCGAGUGAAUUCACGAUUAGUAUUGUCGACAGAGCUGAGUUGUCCCUGUUGAAAGUUGAGAGAUAAUUAAGCAGGAUGGCUUCUGCCCAGGGCAAAGAAAAGCCAGCAGCCAUAAAGUUUCAGAAGAGCUACUUUGAUGUGUUGGGGUUGUGCUGCUCAUCAGAAGUUCCUCUGAUAGAGAAUAUCCUCAAGCCUCUUGAAGGUGUGAAAGACGUUUCAGUGAUUGUGCCUUCCAGAACUGUCAUUGUUGUCCAUGAUAGCCUUCUCAUUUCCCAGCUUCAAAUCGUUAAGGCACUAAACCAAGCAAGGCUAGAAGCAAAUGUGAGAGUGUAUGGGGCAGGGGACAUUUACAAGAAAACGUGGCCAAGUCCAUAUGCAAUUGGUAGUGGCGUGUUACUGGUUCUAUCAUUUCUCAAGUACGCAUAUCGGCCAUUAGGGUGGUUGGCCCUUGGAGCCGUGGCCGUUGGCAUUUUCCCCGUUGCUUUGAAACGUUUUGCGUCUAUUCGGAAUUUCAGGUUUCAUGACAUCAACAUUCUUGUUAUCAUUGCCGGACAUGCAAAAAGGCAAUGCUUCUGUUUCAGUCUCCUUCGAGCCCUCUCAGUCAUUUCUGAAACUCCAACCUCCAUAUUAAUGGACAAUACAAUUGUGAUCAAGGUUAUGAAACGGACUGGAUCAUGUGGACAGGUGACUCAAGUGAAGGUCAAGUUUCUAUUACUUUGUGUCGGUGAAUGGCGAGGAGAGAGGAAGGGGAUGAGGCAUUUGGAGGGAAUGCGAUUAUUGCGGAUUGAGAUGCCAUUGCAGCUGCCACUGCCAAACCCACUAGGCGAUGCUAGGAGGUGGUAUCUUUGAAUGGGAUUGGAAUUUGAUUUGGAUUUGGAGGGUGGACAAAUCCAUUGGCAACCAGUUUUGAUUCCAUUUUUGGUACUUCGUUUCUUGCCUUGCCUUGGCCUACAUUUGCUUCUGUGGCUCUGGGCACUUGGGCACUAGCCAAGCAGCAGAGCAUGCAAAUUGCAAUGGAAGUGCAAAGUACGUGUAUGAUUGUAUCAAAAGUGACGGAAGUUGAGAGAUAAUUAAGCAGGAUAGCUUCUGCCCAGGGCAAAGAAAAGCCAGCAGCCAUAAAGUUUCAGAAGAGCUACUUUGAUGUGUUGGGGUUGUGCUGCUCAUCAGAAGUUCCUCUGAUAGAUAAUAUCCUCAAGCCUCUUGAAGGUGUGAAAGAGG